AUCAAUGAACCAUACCACGUUGAAAAUACCACUUCGUCCGAUCCAUGAAGGAAAGCAACGUCGGGCUGAGUUAGUACCUUGUAGGGACACCACUUGGGAACACUCGGUGUCGUAGACU
rnacentral:rRNA from 1 species